GGGGGUAUAACUCAAUAGGUAGAGAAUAUUCUUUGCAAGAAUAUAGUUAGCGGUUCAAGUCCGCUUACUUCCA
rnacentral:tRNA from 1 species